rnacentral:lncRNA from 1 species
GUGGUAGCAGAGUCACUGCAGAGAACCAGACAAUACCAGGUUGCUUAUAAAAGGAUGCCAUGUGCUUGCUGGAGGUCCCAGGUGCAACCAAAUUGCUUGCAGCUAGGAGGACCUUGAAGAGAAAUGGGAUCAGCCCGCCAAACCAAGAAGGGUUAGCACUUUUGCUAGGAGAGCUGACCACGCACAAACAGAUGAGAACCAAAACCGAGUGAAGAGGAUUGAAGAUGAACCCACAUUUUAAAAGUUCUUGUCUGCUGGAGGUGGCAUUACCUGUGACCUCGCUUCACUUCUCCAUACAUGGCUGUUAUAGCAGAAAAUCCAGCUUUCUGAAGCAUAUUUCACGACAUAUGAUGAGACUUAUGUGAUGUGAGACCUGAGAAAACUAUGAUAGAAAGAAGCAACUCAAGUUGCAAGGAUAUUCCUCAUGUAUCAUGCAAGGAUAUUCCUCAUAUAUCAUGCUUUUUCUAUCUUCUGCUCUUUGCCACCUGUGAGGUCCCUGAAAAUGAAGGCCAAUACUACCCAGAUUUGAAUAUUCUAAGAGAUUUCUCAAAAAGCUGAUAUUCAUAAUUUGAGAAGCAAUCAAGAACAAACGUGUACUGAAACAGUUGGUGCAAAAUCCUUAUUGACCACAGAUGGAAUUCAGUAAUUUAUAUUUCUUCGAAACAUAGAAAAACGGAAUACUGAGAUCUGGUGGGGGGCCGGCGGCAGUCUGGGAGCGGCGCGCCAUGUACACCAUCAUCAACGGGCCCAGCAAGUUGGUCGCGCAGCGCCGCACAGUGCAGGGCCAAGGCUUGUGUUCAAUCGUGUGAAUCGCCGGCGGGACCCCUCCAAGUCCCCAUCCCUCCAGGGGACCCAGGAGACCUACACACUGGCCCACAAGGAGAAUGUCCGCUUUGUGUCCGAAGCCUGGCAGCAGGUGCGGCAGCAGCUGGAUGGUGGCCCAGCCGGUGAGGGCGGGACAAGGCCUGUGCAGUGGAGAGGAUCCCCAAUCCCCGGCUGCAGAACUUCGUGCCCAUUGACUUGGACGAGUGGUGGGCGCAGCACUUCCUGGCUAGAAUCACCAGCUGUUCCUAGCGGCUGCUGGGAGGGAGCGCUGCUAUGGUCUACCUAUCGCCAGGAGAGGAGCAUGGCGUCCUGCCCAUCCACUGUUGCGCCUGGCUGGGUGCCGGCCACACCUGAAGUGCCAGCAUUUGGACUUUUGCACCUGUUGUUCCCUUGGCCCAGCUGUCCCAAGCUGCUAUGGCCAGGGGCUGAACCCGUCUGACCUCAGUCCUGCUCACUGUGCCCAGGGACCAGAGACCAGCCCCUGGGGAUGUCGGAGAGGAGCUCCAGGCUAAUAAAGUCGAGAAACUGCCAAAAAAAAAAAAAGAAAAGAAAAGAAAAGAAAGAAAGAAAGAGAAAGGGAAUGCUGAUAAUAGAUCCGCAUUUUGAAAUUACUUGUUUCUUGGUGGUGGCAUUAACUGUGACCUACCUGCUUUUCUUUAAACAGGGCUACUGUAUCUGAAAAUAUUGUAAAUAAGCAGAUCUAAUUUCGAGAAAUGCCAAAAACAGGAAGGCACUCUUAAAAACAACCUGGCAUCCCACAAAAUAUUUAAGAAUAAUCUUUAAGAAUAUUUAACAAGUUUGCAAAUGUUUAAGCUACAAUAAAUGUAGAGAACAUAUUUGAACACUGGACAUACAAAUAUAUGGGAACUUUAAAUAGAGAAGUUCUUAUAUGACCAAUAGAAGACGUGAAUGUGUGAUAAAACCAUUUUAAAAGUCAUUUCCUAUUGGGAUUGAGAGACCACUUAUUUAUGAUAUUUAUACACCUAUCUGUGUACACAUGUUUACUAACCAUAGUAGUGAUUAGUCAUGGUAGUGAUUAGUCAUGGUAAUCAUUUCAGUUACCAUGAUCUGUGCCUAUAUCCGUAUGUAUGUGUGUAUGUACUUAUUUAUACAAAACAAGAUGUUAAGGAGAAUUUGUACAUGCAUUUAAUGCAAGCAAAUACUUUCCCUUCAAAACUUUGUCAGAAUACACAUCUGGUCUGAUCCAAACCACAAUGUACAGAUUAAUCCAAUUUUAAUAUAGAUUUAUUUUUUGUGUGAACAAAAUAUAGUAGGCGUAUGUAUCUAUACAUUGAAAAGUAUGGAAGAAAAUAACCCAAAAUGUUAUCAGUUGUCUUAACAGAUUUUAUGAUGGUGUUAUUCUUCUUGAUGUACACAAGAUUAUUUUUGAACUAUAUGGCAAACAUCAUUCUUUUUUAAUUUUUUUUUUUUAGAGACUAAGGUGUCAGUAUGUUCUUCAAGCUGCUCUGCUCCUGGGCCCAAGCUAUUCUCCUGCCUCAGCCUUCCAAGAAGCUGAAACUACAAGAACACAAGACUGUACCUGGCUUGCAAACACCAUUGCUAAUAAGAAGAUAUUGUAAGACUGAUACCUAAGAGAUAAGAGGCCCUCCCUCCGUUGCCCAGGUGGGAGUGCAGUGGUGUGAUGUCAGUUCACUGCAACCUUGGCCUCCCGGAUUCAAGCGAUUCUCCUGCCUUAACCUUCCGAGUAGGUGUGAUUAUAGGUACUCGCCACCACACCUGGCUUAUUUUUGUAUUUUCAGUAGACACGGCAUUUCAACAUGGUGCCCAGGCUGGUCUCAAACUCCUGACCUCAAGUGAUCCGCCCGACUCGGCCUCCCAAAAUGUUGGGAUUACAGGCAUGAGCCACUGCUCCUGGCCUGAAUCCAAUUUAAAUGUAAAUUUACUGUGGUGUUUGACUGUUUGACUGUAUAUAUAGAACUUUUAUCUAUGUAUUGAAAGUGGGAGCAAAUACGAAAAAGGGUAUCAGUGUUUUUUAUUUUUAUUUUUUGAGACGGAUUCUCGCUCUUGUUGCCCAGCCUGGAGUGCAAUGGUGCGAUCUUUGCUCACUGCAACCUCCACCUCCCGGUUCAAGCGAUUCUCCUGUCUCAGCCUCCCGAGUAGCUGAGAUUAUAGGCAUGUGACACCACGCCCAGCUAAUUUUUAUAUUUUUAGUAAAGGCGAGGUUUCGCCAUGUUGGUCAGGCUGGUCUCGAUCUCCUGACCUCAAGUGAUCCGCCUGCCUUGGCCUCCCAAAGUGCUGGGAUUAUUGGCGUGAACCACCGCGCCCAGCCUUCAGUGUUUAAUACACAGUUGUAUGGCAUUGCUUUUCUCUUGAUCACCACAUUUUUUUUAGCUUCUUUG